UACAGAGGGUGCGAGCGUUACUCGGAAUUACUGGGCGUAAAGCGCGCGUAGGCGGCUUUGCAAGUCGGGUGUGAAAUCCCCAGGCUUAACCUGGGAACUGCAUUCGAGACUGCAUUGCUAGAGUAUGGGAGAGGGCAGUGGAAUUUCCGGUGUAGCGGUGAAAUGCGUAGAUAUCGGAAGGAACAUCAGUGGCGAAAGCGACUGCCUGGACCAAUACUGACGCUCAUGUGCGAAAGCGUGGGGAGCAAACAGG
rnacentral:rRNA from 1 species